rnacentral:rRNA from 1 species
UUGGACUCAACGCCGGAAAACUCACCGGGGGCGACAGCAAUAUGUAGGUCAAGCUAAAGACUUUACCAGAAUCGCUGAGAGGAGGUGCAUUGGCCGUCGUCAGUUCGUACUGUGAAGCAUCCUGUUAAGUCAGGCAACGAGCGAGACCCGUGCCCACUGUUGCCAGCAUGUCCUUCGGGAUGAUGGGUACUCUGUGGGGACCGCCGAUGCUAAAUCGGAGGAAGGUGCGGGCUACGGUAGGUCAGUAUGCCCCGAAUCUCCCGGGCUACACGCGGGCUACAAUGACUGGGACAAUGGGCUCCUACCCCGAAAGGGGAUGGUAAUCUCAUAAACCCAGCCUUAGUUCGGAUCGAGGGCUGUAACCCGCCCUCGUGAAGCUGGAAUCCGUAGUAAUCGCGUUUCAACAUAGCGCGGUGAAUACGUCCCUGCUCCUU